CCCUUAGACGUUCUGGGCCGCACGCGCGCUACACUGACGAAGGCAACGAGCUUUCCUUUACCGAAAGGUACGGGUAAUCUUUUGAAACUUCGUCGUACUGGGGAUAGAUCCUUGCAAUUUUUGAUCUUAAACGAGGAAUGCCUAGUAAGCGCAAGUCAUCAACUUGCGUUGAUUACGUCCCUGCCCUUUGUACACACCGCCCGUCGCUACUACCGAUUGAAUGGUUUAGUGAGGCCUUCGGAUCCGCGACUCGUUUGUGGAGAAGUUGGACAAACUCAGUCAUUUAGAGGAAGUAAAAGUCGUAACA
rnacentral:rRNA from 1 species